rnacentral:rRNA from 1 species
CGCGUAGGCGGCCAGCGCAAGUCAGUUGUGAAAUCUCCGGGCUUAACUCGGAACGGUCAACUGAUACUGCGCGGCUAGAGUGCGGAAGGGGCAACUGGAAUUCUCGGUGUAGCGGUGAAAUGCGUAGAUAUCGAGAGGAACACCUGCGGCGAAGGCGGGUUGCUGGGCCGACACUGACGCUGAUGCGCGAAAGCCAGGGGAGGCGAACG